UACAGAAGACAGACACUUCUGCAGUGUGAGAGAAAGCUCUUUCAAGAGAACAUUUAUGAGUUUAAGAACAGACCCCGCUCCAAUGGGAGACAGAAACUGAGCUCCUUUUGCAAAGGCACAGAACUUCAGCGUUCCUGAUGGCUGCUCCUGUAUUUGGAGAAAAACAUCAGCACAAUGUCAUUACCCUAACGAUGUAUUAAUGAAAACACAGUGUCAGCCUGCAGAACCAACAGGGGACCAGG